GAUGAAGAACGUAGCGAAAUGCGAUAAGUAGUGUGAAUUGCAGAAUUCAGUGAAUCAUCGAAUCUUUGAACGCACAUUGCGCCCCUUGGUAUUCCAUGGGGCAUGCCUGUUCGAGCGUCAUUUGUACCUUCAAGCUUUGCUUGGUGUUGGGUGUUUGUCCCGAGGGACUCGCCUUAAAGUAAUUGGCAGCCAGUGUUUGGUUUUGAAGCGCAGCACAAGUCGCGAUUCAAGGCUACACGCCCGCUUCCACAAGCCUUUUUUCACUUUUGACCUCGGAUCAGGUAGGGAUACCCGCUGAACUUAAGCAUAUCAAUAGCGGAGGA
rnacentral:misc_RNA from 1 species